UACGUAGGGUGCGAGCGUUGUCCGGAAUUACUGGGCGUAAAGAGCUUGUAGGUGGUUUGUCGCGUUGUUCGUGAAAUCUCACGGCUUAACUGUGGGCGUGCGGGCGAUACGGGCAGACUUGAGUACUGCAGGGGAGACUGGAAUUCCUGGUGUAGCGGUGGAAUGCGCAGAUACCAGGAGGAACACCGGUGGCGAAGGCGGGUCUCUGGGCAGUAACUGACGCUGAGGAGCGAAAGCGUGGGGAGCGAACAGG
rnacentral:rRNA from 1 species